rnacentral:lncRNA from 1 species
CCACGUGCUCGUACUCAGCAACUAACCAGUUAUUCCCACAACAGUGAUUCCACUUUCAUUGUUCGAUCUACCGGAACAACAUCCGAAACAUUCGGACUGCUCGAGUGUUCACAAGCGUCAUGGCUCAACUCUCGCAAUCAACUACUCACAUUGUUUUGAGAGUCAGUCCGCCAUUUCCACCUUCAUCACGAGUUUUAUACUCCGACUAUUACCAACAAUUCGCUGGCACCAUCUAGCUCUCCACCUGCUUCAACAGGUGAUAC